rnacentral:pre_miRNA from 9 species
AGCUUUAACGUUAAAAGUUAAGUCAAAUUUGUAUAGAGUUGGAACGUUUGCCUACGUUUGCCGCUAGGGGCGCUGUUCCAACUCCAUACAAAUUUGAGUUAACUUUUACGCUAUCGA